rnacentral:rRNA from 1 species
UACGUAGGGUGCGAGCGUUGUCCGGAAUUAUUGGGCGUAAAGAGCUUGUAGGCGGUUUGUCGCGUCUGCCGUGAAAGCCCAGGGCUUAACCCUGGGUCUGCGGUGGGUACGGGCAGACUAGAGUGUGGUAGGGGAGACUGGAAUUCCUGGUGUAGCGGUGAAAUGCGUAGAUAUCAGGAGGAACACCGGUGGUGUAGACGGCUCUCUGGACCGUAACUGACGCUGAGACACGAAAGCGUGGGUAGCAAACAGG